CCUACGGGGGGCUGCAGUGGGGAAUAUUGGGCAAUGGGGGCAACCCUGAUCCAGCCAUGCCGCGUGUGUGAAGAAGGCCCUCGGGUGGUAAAGCACUUUCAGUGAGGAAGAACGCCUGGUGGUUAAUACCCAUCAGGAAAGACAUCACUCACAGAAGAAGCACCGGCUAACUCCGUGCCAGCAGCCGCGGUAAUACGGAGGGUGCGAGCGUUAAUCGGAAUUACUGGGCGUAAAGCGCGCGUAGGUGGCUUGAUAAGCCGGUUGUGAAAGCCCCGGGCUCAACCUGGGAACGGCAUCCGGAACUGUCAAGCUAGAGUGCAGGAGAGGAAGGUAGAAUUCCCGGUGUAGCGGUGAAAUGCGUAGAGAUCGGGAGGAAUACCAGUGGCGAAGGCGGCCUUCUGGACUGACACUGACACUGAGGUGCGAAAGCGUGGGUAGCAAACAGGAUUAGAUACCCUUGUAGUC
rnacentral:rRNA from 1 species